AACCUCCGGGUUUAUCACCCUCGAGGAGGAGUUUUAGUCGGUAGGCGCUUCGGCGAAUCCGACACUACCCCCAUUCAGGGGGUGUCUUUUGAAGAUUUCCCCUCCUCGAGGAA
rfam:Agrilus planipennis Contig27152, whole genome shotgun sequence.